UACGUAGGGACCAAGCGUUGUUCGGAUUUACUGGGCGUAAAGGGCGCGUAGGCGGCAAUUCAAGUCAUCUGUGAAAUCUCCGGGCUUAACCCGGAGCGGCCAAGUGAUACUGUCGUGCUAGAGUGCGGAAGGGGCUACUGGAAUUCUCGGUGUAGCGGUGAAAUGCGUAGAUAUCGAGAGGAACACCUGCGGCGAAGGCGGGUAGCUGGGCCGACACUGACGCUGAUGCGCGAAAGCCAGGGGAGCGAACGGG
rnacentral:rRNA from 1 species